GAAUUAAAUGGCCAGAGGAAGUACAUAAAAGAGGUCAAAUCUUUUAAAUACAGCCCAAACUGUUGCAAGUUGCAACUUGGUCCUUGAGGAAAUAAGUGUCGCACACAAAAGCCUAGAAAGAAUAGGCACCUUACUACCAAAACUAAAUGAAUGAAUAAAGAAAUAAAGAAAGAAUCAUCCUGCUGCGCUGGUCCUGGCCUUUCGAUUUCAUCCUAUGCAUAUAACCAACAAAUUCAUUUCUGCAUGAACUUUUAUUGCCAUCAAGAUCACUACAUAUAAGUUAAAUGCAGUAACCUUAAGCCCAUGAAUACAACCAUAAAAAAAAACAGCAAAUACAAAUACGACUUAUGGAUAUUGUCAAGCACAGACAAAUGUCAAAGAUCCUAAAAAUAUAUGAUAUGGAUA
rnacentral:lncRNA from 1 species